AGAGAUACCUGUCAGGGGAGACCAUGCUCACAGAGGUGGUUUUUCCAGGGUGAGACUCAUUAAUUGCACUCCAGAUGUGCUGAACCCCAUGAUUUCCUCCAUUUGUGGUACUGGUGGACUGUGCUCAUGCCCUUCCC
rnacentral:snRNA from 1 species